CCUACGGGAGGCAGCAGUGGGGAAUAUUGGACAAUGGGCGAAAGCCUGAUCCAGCCAUGCCGCGUGUGUGAAGAAGGCCUUCGGGUUGUAAAGCACUUUUGGCGGGAACGAAAAGGACUGUGCCAAUACCACGGUUCGAUGACGGUACCCGCAGAAUAAGCACCGGCUAACUACGUGCCAGCAGCCGCGGUAAUACGUAGGUCCCGAGCGUUGUCCGGAUUUAUUGGGCGUAAAGGGCUCGUAGGUGGUUGAUCGCGUCGGAAGUGUAAUCUUGGGGCUUAACCCUGAGCGUGCUUUCGAUACGGGUUGACUUGAGGAAGGUAGGGGAGAAUGGAAUUCCUGGUGGAGCGGUGGAAUGCGCAGAUAUCAGGAGGAACACCAGUGGCGAAGGCGGUUCUCUGGGCCUUUCCUGACGCUGAGGAGCGAAAGCGUGGGGAGCGAACAGGCUUAGAUACCCUGGUAGUCCACGCUGUAAACGGUGGGUACUAGGUGUGGGGUCCAUUCCACGGGUUCCGUGCCGUAGCUAACGCUUUAAGUACCCCGCCUGGGGAGUACGGCCGCAAGGCUAAAACUC
rnacentral:rRNA from 1 species